rnacentral:rRNA from 1 species
GAUGAACGCUAGCUACAGGCUUAACACAUGCAAGUCGAGGGGCAUCAGGAAGAAAGCUUGCUUUCUUUGCUGGCGACCGGCGCACGGGUGAGUAACACGUAUCCAACCUGCCCUUUACUCGGGGAUAGCCUUUCGAAAGAAAGAUUAAUACCCGAUAGCAUAAUGAUUCCGCAUGGUUUCAUUAUUAAAGGAUUCCGGUAGAGGAUGGGGAUGCGUUCCAUUAGCUAGUUGGUAAGGUAACGGCUUACCAAGGCAAUGAUGCAUAGCCGAGUUGAGAGACUGAUCGGCCACAUUGGGACUGAGACACGGCCCAA